GUUGCAGGUGCAAUAACUUCUCCUGAUUUCACCGACUCCUCUGCAAUUUCAGCAACAAUUUCACUGUCCUUUUUAGGUACCUCGCUGUCUUUUUCUGUCUCUACCAAAGUUGGUACCUCUGAUUUUGCGACAUCCUCUUUCUCCUCCUUAACCAGUGGUUUUUCCAAUUCAAAGCUUCUCUCAGUUGUAAUUACUUCCGAACUUACUGAAUCAUCACCAACUUUAGUACUAGGGAUUUCCUCUGUCUUUGGGACCUCUCUAUAUUUGGCGGCCUCUUCCAAUUUUGGAGCAUCAGCUUUAUUUUCUGGGACAAAUGCUUCUGGUUUCACAAAAUCAUCAGCAAGUUCAGCACUAAGAAUGUUCUCUGUUGUUGGAGCCUCACUAUCUUUGUCAUGCUCAGUAAAAGUUGGAGCAUUUUCUUUUGUGACCUCAUCUUUCACCUCCUCUGCAGCCACUUCUGUUGCAGGUGCAAUAACUUCUGAUGAUUUCACCGACUCCUCUGCAAUUUCAGCAACAAUUUCACUGUCUUUUUUAGGUACCGCGCUCUCUUUUGCAGUUUCUACCAAAGUUGGUAUCGCCGUUUUUGCGACAUCCUCUUUCUGUUCCUCCUGCACCACUGGCUUUUCCAAUUCAAAGCUUCUCUCAGUUGUAAUUACAUCUGAACUUACUGAAUCAUCCUUAACUUUAGUACUAGGGAUUGCCUCUGUUUUUGGGUCCUCACCAUCUUUGGCGGCCUCCAAUUCUGGAGCAUCAGCUGUAAUUUCUGGGAAAAAUGUUUCUGGUUUCACCAAAUCCUCAGCAAGUUCAGCACUAGGAAUGUUCUCUGUAGUUGGAGCCUCACCAUCUUUGUCAUGCUCAGCUAAAGUUUGAGCAUUUUCUUUUGUGACCUCAUCUUUCACCUCCUCUGCAACCACUUCUGUUGCAGGUGCAAUAACUUCUUCAGUUUUCACCAACUCCUCUGCAAUUUCAGCAACAGUUUCACUCUCUUUUUUAGGUACCUCGCUGUCUUUUUCCGUCUCUACCAAAGUUGGUACCUCUGGUUUUGCAACAUCCUCUUUCUCCUCCUUAAACAGUGGUUUUUCCAAUUCAAAGCUUCUCACAGUUGUAAUUACUUCCGAACUUACUGAAUCAUCACCAACUGUAGUACUAGGGCUUUCCACUGUCUUUGGGUCCUCUCUAUCUUUGGCGGCCUCUUCCAAUUUUGGACCUUCAGCUUUAUUUCCUGGGACAAACGCUUCUGGUUUCACAAAAUCAUCAGCAAGUUCAGCACUAAGAAUGUUCUCUGUUGUUGGAGCCUCACUAUCUUUGUCAUGCUCAGCAAAAGUUGAAACAUUUUCUUUUGUGACCUCAUCUUUCACCUCCUCUGCAGCCACUUCUGUUGCAGGUGCAAUAACUUCUGAUGAUUUCACCGACUCCUCUGCAAGUUCAGCAACAGUUUCACUCUCUUUUUUAG
rnacentral:lncRNA from 1 species